CGGAAUUCCUCCGGUGUCUUAUUACACUCUUUUACUCAUUGAAAUCCCAAAUGAACACCCUUUUAAAACCCCUCGGAAUCCCAAUUGAAUCCGAAGCGCCAGUUUUGUACUCUGUCCUGCAUAAAACCCCAAUUGGAGCACCGAGAGCCAAGCUAGCAGAAGAAGAUGGCGCACGGCGGCGGACCAAGGCAGGUGAAACUGGACCGAGAGAGCGAGCUCAGAAUCGAAGUCGGCUACGACGCCCCUCUCAAGCUCCGCCUGCUCAGCGGCACCGCUGAGAUCUUCGGCACCGAGCUCCCCCCUGAUUUCUGGCUCACCUUCCCGCCCAGGCUCAAAUUUGCUGUUUUUACUUUGAACGGAGCAACAAUUGAGAUGGAGGGCAGUACGGAAACCGAGUACACGGCUGAUGAGACUCCAAAUAUCAGCUAUGUGAAUGUGCACGCCGUACUGGAAGAACGGAGACACCGCGCUAAACCCUUGCCGCCCGAUGACCCCAAUUCUCAGGGCCCUAGGGUGAUUGUUGUGGGACCAACAGAUUCUGGGAAAAGUACCUUGUCGAAAAUGCUUCUUAGUUGGGCAGCUAAGAAGGGAUGGAAACCUACUUUCGUCGACUUGGAUAUUGGACAAGGAGCUAUAACAAUUCCAGGAUGUAUUGCCGCUACUCCUAUUGAAAUGCCUAUUGAUCCGGUUGAAGGAAUUCCUCUUGAUAUACCUCUCGUUUAUUUCUAUGGGCACACAACUCCUAGUAAUAAUGUAGAUUUAUACAAAGUGCUUGUGAAGGAGCUUGCUCAAGUGGUAGAAAGACAACUUUCUGGGAAUGCUGAAUCUCGAGCUUCUGGAAUGGUGAUCAAUACCAUGGGAUGGAUAGAAGGUCAAGGCUACGAGUUGCUUCUUCAUGCAAUUGAUACAUUCAAUGCCAAUGUUGUCUUAGUUCUAGGCCAGGAAAAACUUUGGAGCAUGAUCAGAAAUGUACUAAAGAACAAGCCUGGUGUGGACGUUGUAAAACUUCAAAAAUCUGGGGGUGUUGUAUCCAGGAAUGCCAAAUUCCGUCAAAAAUCCAGGAGUCAUAGGAUAAGGGAGUAUUUCUAUGGCCUUGCAAAUGAUCUCAGCCCACAUUCUAAUAUUGCGAAUUUUAGUGACUUUUCUGUCUUUCGGAUUGGUGGCGGGCCACAGGCCCCACGUUCGGCUUUGCCAAUUGGUGCAGAGCCUGCUGCAGACCCUACAAGAUUGGCGCCUGUGAAUAUUAACCGGGAUUUGCUGCAUACCGUUCUUGCUGUUUCAUUUGCCAAGGAGCCUGAUCAAAUUAUUUCUAGUAAUGUUGCUGGGUUUGUCUCUGUCACAGACGUCAACAUUCAGAGAGAAGAGAGAGACAUGUAAAAGCAUUCAGCACCUUUUGAUCUUUGUCAUCCCCACCCUCCAUCCACGUGCGUCCUCUCAUACAUUCACCUACUCAGUCAACCAUUUUUCUUUGUUUUCCUCUACAUUUUAUAAUCCCAAUCAAUCGCUCUAAUUAUAGCGAAUUUCAAUGACUUCAACGGAUUAGAUUGAAUCUCGAAUUCAAAAUCCAACAUGGUAACAUAUGAUUAGUGUAAACCCCUGAAUUAUGAAAUGAACUAUUUAAACCCCAUGCCAAAGGGACAAACUCAACCCUCUCUCUCACUCCUCCCUCCCUCCCCAAUUCUGCCGCGUUCCUCUUCCGCCAUGCCAAGAACCGACGUCCCCUUUAUGAACGUUGGAACUUCGGUUAAUCCUCCACAAAUCUCAGCUGGGAUAUUCAGACAAAGGAGAUCAUUGGGCGUGACACUAAGAAAGAUGGGUUAUAUUAUGUGGAUGACGUUGUUUCUGGCAGAGCUAAUGCAGUUCGAGCAUCUCGUACCAAUAAUUUACAGAAAGUUUGGUUAUUGCAUCGUCGGUUAGGACAUGCUUCAUUUGGUUAUUUGAGGCGUAUGUUGCCUAGUUUAUUUCAUGAAAUAAAAGAAUCAGACUUACAU